GACGAACGCUGGCGGCAUGCCUAACACAUGCAAGUCGAACGAGACCUUCGGGUUUAGGGGCUAACGGGUUCGUAACGCGUGGGGACAUGCCCUUGUGUUCGGAAUAACUCCCCGAAAGGAGUGCUAAUACCGGAUAAUGUCAUCGGACCAAAGCUUUAUCGCCUUUGGAUGGGCCCGCGUGGGAUUAGCGAGUUGGUAGGGUUAAAGCCUACCAAGGCGACGAUCCGUCGCUGGUCUGAGAGGGUGCUCAGCCACACUGGGACUGAGACACGGCCCAGACUCCUACGGGAGGCAGCAGUGGGGAAUCUUGGACAAUGGGCGAGAGCCUGCACCAGCAAUGCCGCGUGAGUGAUGAAGGCGUUAGGGUUGGCAAGCGCUUUUGCCCGAGAUGAUAAUGACAGUACCGGGUGAAUAAGCUCCGGCUAACUCCGUG
rnacentral:rRNA from 1 species